rnacentral:tRNA from 5 species
CGCGGGGUAGAGCAGUCUGGUUAGCUCACGAGGCUCAUAACCUUGAGGUCACGGGUUCAAAUCCCGUCCCCGCUA